rnacentral:rRNA from 1 species
GCUUACGGCCAUACCAGCCUGGGUACGCCCGAUCUCGUCUGAUCUCGGAAGCUGAAGCAGGGUCGGGCCUGGUUAGUACUUGGAUGGGAGACCGCCUGGGAAUACCAGGUGCUGUAAGGA